rnacentral:rRNA from 1 species
UACGUAGGGUGCAAGCGUUGUCCGGAAUUAUUGGGCGUAAAGCGCUCACAGGUGGACAAGCAGGUCUGGUGUUAAAUACCCACGGCUCAACCGGGGUGCUGCAUUGGAAACCGCUUGACUAGAGGAAGGCAAAGGCAGGUGGAAUUUCCAUUGUAGGGGUUAAAUCCGUAGAUAAUGGAAGGAACACCAAAAGCGAAGGCAGCCUGCUGGGACUUUCCUGACACUGCUUGAUCGAAAGCGUGGGGAGCGAAAGGG